rnacentral:tRNA from 1 species
GGGGUUGUGGCUCAGCAGUAGAGUGCUCGCCUAGUAUGUGGGAGGCCCUGGGUUCAAUCCUCAGCACCA